rnacentral:rRNA from 1 species
CCCUACGGGGCGCAGCAGGCGCGAAAACUUUACAAUGCUGGAAACAGCGAUAAGGGGACCUUGAGUGUCAGGUUACAAAUCUGGCUGUCGUGAUGCCUAAAAAGCAUUGCAUAGCAAGGGCCGGGCAAGACCGGUGCCAGCCGCCGCGGUAACACCGGCGGCUCGAGUGGUAACCGUUAUUAUUGGGUCUAAAGGGUCUGUAGCCGGCCGGAUAAGUCUCUUGGGAAAUCUGGCAGCUUAACUGUCAGGCUUUCAGGAGAUACUGUCUGGCUCGAGGCCGGGAGAGGUGAGAGGUACUUCAGGGGUAGGGGUGAAAUCCUGUAAUCC